CUACCCAGGAGCAGAGAUCUGGGCUUGACGUGUGUGGCCUGUGGAGCUGAGGCCCCACAUAGGAGCCAAGGAUGCACUCAGCCCAUCUGCCCCUCCGUUCUCAGGCUGACCAGGAAGUUCCAGCUCAGAUACCCGCAGUUUACCGAGUUUCGGCUGCUUUGUCAAAAAUUAGGUGUUCCAAUUCACAAGCCCAGAGAGGCUAGUUAAAAAGGUGGACCCUAAGAGGAACACACACGGAGAACCCCAGGAAGGAAAAGUAGAACCUACAUCCAGUAACUGAUGGUAGUAGAUACAGUGACCCACAGCCAAGCACUGGACUGAGCUCCCGGAGUUCAUUUGAAGAGUGGGAGAAGGAAUCGGAUGAACAAGGCGGGGUCAGGAUCAUGGUGGAGAAAACCACAGAAGCAGCUGACCAGAGAUGUAGGGAGAUCGCAGACUAUGGGCUGACAGCCGGAGAGCCUGCAUGGGACCACCAUAGGCCCCCUGAAUGUGGGUGUCAGUUAUGUGGCUUGAUCUGUUGAGGGGGGUCCUGGUAGUGGGACCAGGAGCUAUUCCGGACAUGACUUCGAAUGGUGGGAUGCCUUGCUCAGCCAUGAUACAGGGGCUUGGUCCUGCCUCAACUUGAUAUUCCAGACUUCGUUGACUCCCCAAGGAAGCACUUAUGCC